AUUUCUCUGAGAUGUUUGUCAGCGGGUCAGUCCCCUGAGCCGAUAUUUAGCACAAACAGAAUGUGUUGAUCUGCGAUCGGGGAGCAUGUUCGGUGCGCCGGGAAGCCUUAAGAUUGCGAUGGCAAGUUCACCUUGAACCAUGGGUUCAAGGGUUACAGCCUGCGACGGCAUCUUGGAGAUCCC
rfam:Serratia symbiotica str. Tucson genomic scaffold scaffold00333, whole genome shotgun sequence.